UACGUAGGGGGCAAGCGUUGUCCGGAAUCAUUGGGCGUAAAGAGCGUGUAGGCGGCCCGGUCAGUCCGCCGUGAAAGUCGGGGGCUCAACCUCCGAUGACCGGUGGAUACUGUCGAGCUAGAGUGCGGAAGAGGCGAGUGGAAUUCCUGGUGUAGCGGUGAAAUGCGCAGAUAUCAGGAGGAACACCGAUUGCGAAGGCAGCUCGCUGGGACGUUACUGACGCUGAGACGCGAAAGCGUGGGGGAGCAAACAGG
rnacentral:rRNA from 1 species